rnacentral:rRNA from 1 species
UACGAAGGGGGCUAGCGUUGCUCGGAAUUACUGGGCGUAAAGCGCACGUAGGCGGGUCGUUAAGUCAGGGGUGAAAUCCCGGAGCUCAACUCCGGAACUGCCUUGGAUACUGGCGACCUAGAGGUCGGAAGAGGUUAGUGGAAAUCCCAGUGUAGAGGUGAAAUUCGUAGAUAUUGGGAAGAACACCAGUGGCGAAGGCGGCUAACUGGUCCGAUACUGACGCUGAGGUGCGAAAGCGUGGGGAGCAAACAGG